rnacentral:rRNA from 1 species
UACAGAGACUGCGAGCGUUAUUCGGAUUCACUGGGCGUAAAGGGUGCGCAGGCGGCCGAGUGUGUGAGGCGUGAAAGCCUGGGGCUUAACCCCAGAAUUGCACCUCAAACUACACGGCUAGAGCAUUGGAGAGGGUAGCAGAAUUCACGGUGUAGCAGUGAAAUGCGUAGAUAUCGUGAGGAAUACCAGAGGCGAAGGCGGCUACCUGGACAAUUGCUGACGCUCAUGCACGAAAGCGUGGGGAGCAAACAGG